rnacentral:rRNA from 2 species
CUAACCUGCGGAAGGAUCAUUG